CCUACGGGUGGCAGCAGUGGGGAAUUUUGCACAAUGGGGGAAACCUUGAUGCAGCGACGCCGCGUGAGUGAUGAAGUACUUCGGUAUGUAAAGCUCUAUCAGCAGGGACGAAAAUGACGGUUCCUGACUAAGAAGCCCCGGCUAACUACGUGCCAGCAGCCGCGGUAAUACGUAGGGGGCAAGCGUUAUCCGGAUUUACUGGGUGUAAAGGGGGCGUAGACGGUGAUGUAAGUCAGAAGUGAAAGUCCGGGGCUCAACUCCGGGACUGCUUUUGAAACUGGGUGACUGGAGUGCAGGAGAGGUAAACGGAAUUCCUGGUGUAGCGGUGAAAUGCGUAGAUAUCAGGAGGAACACCAGUGGCGAAGGCGGCUUACUGGACUGUAACUGACAUUGAGGCUCGAAAGCGUGGGGAGCAAACAGGAUUAGAUACCCGAGUAGUC
rnacentral:rRNA from 1 species